AUUGAUGGCUGGAAUGAAUGAAUAUACGAGAGCUCAACUGUCUCAUUUUUACAAAUAUAAAUUGACCCUCAAGUGAAGAGACUUGAAUCUUAAAGAAAGACGAAAAGACCCUAUAGAGCUUUACCUAAAGUUUAUAUUAUAUAAACUAAAGGUUUAGUUGGGGCAACUAGAGAGCACCUAAAACCUCUCUUUAAACCUACUAAUAAUGAUCCGUUUUUACGAUAGGUAGAAAAAGCUACCUUAGGGAUAACAGGCUAAUCCUCUUUAAGAGACCAUAUUGACAAGAGGGA
rnacentral:rRNA from 1 species